UACGAAGGGGGCUAGCGUUGCUCGGAAUCACUGGGCGUAAAGGGUGCGUAGGCGGGUCUUUUAAGUCAGAGGUGAAAGCCUGGAGCUCAACUCCAGAACUGCCUUUGAUACUGAGGAUCUCGAGUUCGGGAGAGGUGAGUGGAACUGCGAGUGUAGAGGUGAAAUUCGUAGAUAUUCGCAAGAACACCAGUGGCGAAGGCGGCUCACUGGCCCGAUACUGACGCUGAGGCACGAAAGCGUGGGGAGCGAACAGG
rnacentral:rRNA from 1 species